rnacentral:rRNA from 1 species
UGGGCGAAAGCCUGACGGAGCAAUCUCGCGUGAGGGAUGACGGCCUAUGGGUUGUAAACCUCUUUUUUCAGGGAGGAAUAAAUGACGUGUACCUGAAGAAUAAGCAUCGGCUAACUCCGUGCCAGCAGCCGCGGUAAGACGGAGGAUGCAAGUGUUAUCCGGAAUCACUGGGCGUAAAGCGUCUGUAGGUGGUUUAAUAAGUCAACUGUUAAAUCUUGAAGCUCAACUUCAAAAUCGCAGUCGAAACUAUUAGACUAGAGUAUAGUAGGGGUAAAGGGAAUUUCCAGUGGAGCGGUGAAAUGCGUAGAGAUUGGAAAGAACACCGAUGGCGAAGGCACUUUACUGGGCUAUUACUGACACUCAGAGACGAAAGCUAGGGUAGCAAAUGGGAUUAGAUACCCCAGUAGUCCUAGCCGUAAACAAUGGAUACUAGAUGUUGAACAGAUCGACCUGUGCAGUAUUAAAGCUAACGCGUUAAGUAUCCCGCCUGGGAAGUAUGC